rnacentral:rRNA from 1 species
GUGGGGAAUAUUGGACAAUGGGCGCAAGCCUGAUCCAGCCAUGCCGCGUGAGUGAUGAAGGCCUUAGGGUUGUAAAGCUCUUUCAGUGGGGACGAUAAUGACGGUACCCACAGAAGAAGCCCCGGCUAACUUCGUGCCAGCAGCCGCGGUAAUACGAAGGGGGCUAGCGUUGUUCGGAUUUACUGGGCGUAAAGCGCACGUAGGCGGAUUGUUAAGUCGGGGGUGAAAUCCUGGAGCUCAACUCCAGAACUGCGUUCGAUACUGGCGAUCUUGAGUCCGGAAGAGGUGAGUGGAACUCCUAGUGUAGAGGUGGAAUUCGUAGAUAUUAGGAAGAACACCAGUGGCGAAGGCGGCUCACUGGUCCGGUACUGACGCUGAGGUGCGAAAGCGUGGGGAGCAAACAGGAUUAGAUACCCGUGUAGUCC